rnacentral:rRNA from 1 species
UCAAGUGACUAAGAGCAUGUGGUGGAUGCCUUGGCGAUUACAGGCGACGAAAGACGUGAUAGCCUGCGAUAAGCUUCGGGGAGCUGGCAAAUAAGCUUUGAUCCGGAGAUUUCUGAAUGGGGAAACCCACCUCGCAAGAGGUAUCGCAUACUGAAUACAUAGGUAUGCGAGGCGAACCGGGUGAACUGAAACAUCUCAGUAGCUCGAGGAAAAGACAUCAACCGAGAUUCCGAAAGUAGUGGCGAGCGAAAUCGGAGAAGCCUUCUAGUGAUAGCACGACCGUUAGCAAAACAAGCUGGAAAGCUUGACCACAGCAGGUGAUAGUCCUGUAUGCGAAAGCGGACGUGUGGUACCAGGCUAGAGACAAGUAGGGCGGGACACGUGUAAUCCUGUCUGAACAUGGGGGGACCAUCCUCCAAGGCUAAAUACUCAUCAUCGACCGAUAGUGAACUAGUACCGUGAGGGAAAGGCGAAAAGAACCCCGGGAGGGGAGUGAAAUAGAUCCUGAAACCGCAUGCUUACAAAAAGUCGGAGCCCUUCGGGGUGACGGCGUACCUUUUGUAUAAUGGGUCAGCGACUUACAUUCAGUGGCAAGGUUAACCGAAUAGGGAAGCCGAAGAGAAAUCGAGUCCGAACAGGGCGAACAGUCGCUGGGUGUAGACCCGAAACCAAGUGAUCUAUCCAUGGCCAGGAUGAAGGUGCCGUAACAGGUACUGGAGGUCCGAACCCACUAGUGUUGCAAAACUAGGGGAUGAGCUGUGGAUAGGGGUGAAAGGCUAAACAAACUUGGAAAUAGCUGGUUCUCUCCGAAAACUAUUUAGGUAGUGCCUCAAGUAUUACCUGCGGGGGUAGAGCACUGUUUUGGCUAGGGGGUCAUGGCGACUUACCAAACCAAGGCAAACUCCGAAUACCGCAGAGUACAGCUUGGGAGACAGUGCACCGGGUGCUAACGUCCGGACACAAGAGGGAAACAACCCAGACCGCCAGCUAAGGUCCCUAAAAUUGGCUAAGUGGGAAACGAAGUGGGAAGGCUAAAACAGUCAGGAUGUUGGCUUAGAAGCAGCCAUCAUUUAAAGAAAGCGUAAUAGCUCACUGAUCGAGUCGUCCUGCGCGGAAGAUGUAACGGGGCUAAGCCAGUUACCGAAGCUGCGGAUGUGCAAUUUAUUGCACGUGGUAGGAGAGCGUUCUGUAGGCCUGUGAAGGUGUCUGGUAACGGAUGCUGGAGGUAUCAGAAGUGCGAAUGCUGACAUGAGUAGCGUUAAAGGGGGUGAAAAGCCCCCUCGCCGUAAGCGCAAGGUUUUCUACGCAACGUUCAUCGGCGUAGAGUGAGUCGGCCCCUAAGGCGAGGCAGAGAUGCGUAGCUGAUGGGAAACAGGUCAAUAUUCCUGUACCGAUCAAUAGUGCGAUGUGGGGACGGAGAAGGUUAGCUCAGCCAACUGUUGGAUAUGUUGGUUCAAGCCUGUAGUCGUGCCUGGUAGGCAAAUCCGCCGGGCUUAGAUGAGGGGUGAUAACGAGUCUGCUUGCAGACGAAGUGAGUGAUACCCUGCUUCCAGGAAAAGCCACUAAGCUUCAGCUAUUGACGACCGUACCGCAAACCGACACUGGUGCGCGAGAUGAGUAUUCUAAGGCGCUUGAGAGAACUCAGGAGAAGGAACUCGGCAAAUUGAUACCGUAACUUCGGGAGAAGGUAUGCCCCAAGUAGGUGAACUCGUACAGAGGGAGCCCAAAGGGGUUGCAAAAAAUCGGUGGCUGCGACUGUUUAAUAAAAACACAGCACUCUGCAAACACGAAAGUGGACGUAUAGGGUGUGACGCCUGCCCGGUGCUGGAAGAUUAAAUGAUGGGGUGCAAGCUCUUGAUUGAAGUCCCAGUAAACGGCGGCCGUAACUAUAACGGUCCUAAGGUAGCGAAAUUCCUUGUCGGGUAAGUUCCGACCUG